rnacentral:rRNA from 1 species
AUGUACUUCAGUGACUUCAAGAUGAUUGACAUCAAUGGAUCUCUUUGCUUCCUCACCAGAACUGGUUACAACGGCGAAGAUGGAUUUGAAAUCUCUGUUCCAUCAGAGAACGCGGUCGCUCUCGCGAAGGCCCUCCUUGAGAAAUCAGAAGGUAAGGUGAGGCUGACCGGCCUGGGCGCCCGAGACAGUCUCCGGCUGGAGGCCGGCCUCUGCCUGUACGGCAACGGCAUGGAGCAGCACAUCACGCCGGUGGAGGCCGGCCUCUCGUGGGCGAUCGGCAAGCGGAGGAGGGCCGAGGGCGGCUUCCUGGGCGCGGAGGUGAUCCUGAAGCAGCUCAAGGAAGGCCCCAAGAUCCGGCGCGUGGGCAUCUUCUCGCAGGGGCCGCCCCCGCGGAGCCACAGCGAGAUCGUGAGCGGCACCGGGGAGAAGAUCGGCGAGGUGACCAGCGGCGGGUUCAGCCCGUGCCUGAAGAAGAACAUCGCCAUGGGGUACGUGAAGAACGGCCUGCACAAGGCCGGGACGGAGUUCAAGGUGGUCGUCCGCGGCAAGCAGUAUGACGCCGUCGUCACCAAGAUGCCCUUCGUGCCCACCAAGUACUACAAGGCCCCUUAG